GUUGAUUUGGGAGAAAGAUCUCGGGCCCACCACCACACGUGACGUGUCAUUUUACAACUAUAUUAAUUUUCGAAACGUUUCAACUUUCCUCUGUAGCUACAAAGCCUUGGCGAAAGAAACGAAGCUGCAGUUUGUAAUGCCCUACACUUCGAGCUCGCUGCGAUUUUUCUCUGUACGGAACUCCCUCUGCUUUCUCUCUCUACGCGAAGUCAUUUGCGCAUACAAACGGUCUUUCGGUGUCUCUAUAUCUAUGGCAUCGCCAGCUAUGGAUUCCAGUUCAUCUUGUUCGCUGGUUCUAUGUGGAAAAUCGACGGUCGAGAGUGAACUUGCAAAAUCUAUAAAGAACAAUAGUGCCCUGAAGCUCCCUGACAUUAACGACGUUUCAAUUCUUUUGCAAUCGGAGCUGGAGAAACCGCUCCAAGAAGACUCGGACUCUAUUGGCGUCGAUUCUUUCAUGAAUUCUCUUUCAACGAAUCAGUUUGGUAGGUUCCUCAUUUGGUCUCCGUGGUUGCCUUCCACGCACGACGUCGUUUCUCACAAUUUUUGUCAGCUUCCGGUCGGUGCGGUUUGUGUUGCCGAUGCUCAGUCAAGGGGGCGAGGUCGGUCGAGGAAUGUGUGGGAAUCUCCUAGAGGUUGCCUUAUGUUUUCUUUUACCAUACAAAUGGAGGACGGGCGAGCCGUGCCUCUUUUGCAAUAUGUCGUGUCUCUUGCUAUCACUGAGGCAAUAAAGGAUGUCUGUGACAAAAAUGGCUUGCCAUGUGUUGAUGUUAAAAUAAAGUGGCCAAAUGAUCUUUACUUUAAUGGCCUUAAAAUUGGAGGCAUUCUAUGCACCUCAACAUACAAGUCGAAGAAGUUCAAUGUCAGUGCUGGUAUAGGUUUGAAUAUUGAUAACGAGAAACCAACAACAUGUUUGAAUGCAAUUCUAAGAGAAUUGUGUGUUGGGUCUUACCAAUUCAGUAGACAAGAUAUUCUUGCUACCUUUUUUAAUAAAUUUGAGGAAUUGUAUGAUCUUUUCAUAAAUCAAGGAUUUCAAACUCUUGAGGAGCUAUAUUGUAAGACAUGGCUGCACAGUGGGCAAAGAGUAAUUAUACAGGAAAAGAAUGGGGACCAAGUGGUUGAAAAUGUGGUAACUAUUCAGGGUUUGACAUCCUCAGGAUAUUUGUUAGCUAUUGGUGAGGACAAUCAAAUGUGUGAGCUUCAUCCUGAUGGCAAUAGUUUCGACUUCUUCAAAGGACUAAUUAAAAGAAAACUUGAGUGAAGAAGAUUCCUUAGCACCUUCAACUGGAAACAACUAUCGUGCUUGGAACAUGUGCAUACUGAUAAUGGACUCGCUCUGAUUUUUUUCUUGGAAAUGUUUUUCCCCAUAAAACAUUUGGAGACUUAGGCAGAUGAUGAUUCUUUUUUGGCACAAGUGGUGUGACUGGUGUCGUAAUGCAGAGUAUGUUGUAUGGAUUGGGGCCCUUGCUGUUUGCGUGUGUGUUGUGUGUUGGGAGAGAAAAUGAGUGCCCCACCUCCACAUGCGCAUCCUAGUAAUGGUGCAAAAGAUCCAAAUCAUAGAGGAACAUUGUCUCUAUCGCAACGGGGAACUAUAUUGAGGUGUUGUCCUCGAAAGGCUGCAAAAGGGGCUUGUGAGAGGGAGUUUAUACCAACUUUGUCUUUCACCAAAUCUUUCAGAUUUCAUUUAUUUCUCCUGGGCUUUUUUUAGGUUUCUGGGCUAACCAAAUUGCCAAACACAUCAACUUACGGUCUUCCACUUGAAUUGUAAUAGUCUCAAUAGGCCACAUGCAAACUUACGUGCGGUUCACAUUAAACAACAAAAUUUGACAAGUAAAUUUAAUUUAAUAGUUUACGUAACAUCAAUUUGCAAGAAAUUUAUAAUUAUAA